rnacentral:lncRNA from 1 species
UUUGGCUCCUCAACGCAAGGUCCGUGAACCCCGUUAAGCCAUGUUUUAGGAUCUUACACACUCCCGAUGAGUAUGCAACAUUGUUUUAUUGUUCUUGUUCAUUGCUUAGUACUAAGGUUAAGAAAAAUUAAACACACAAUUUUUCCAGGUGAUGUUUUCUCAUUAAGAUAGUGAGUUAUACAGAAAUUACAUAAUACAAACCUUAAUAUACAAGGUUUAAUUGAGUUGACCGGUUUGACUCGUUGACUUUGUCCGGCUUAGACUUGACCCGAAUUUGACUAUUUUCACAUCAUCCCCCCGUUAGAGGGAAUUUCGUCCCGAAAUUUACACUUUGGCCGGGACUUCAAGAGUUUAGGAAAAGAUGUGUNAAUUUACGCUUUGGCCGGGACUUCAAGAGUUUGGGAAAAGAUGCGGGUACUUUUGUUUCAUUUGGUCUUCGCGCUCCUAGGUGAACUUAGGUCCUCGUUUAGCGUUCCAUUGAACCUUCACGAUGGGAAUACGACUUUGUUUCGUUCUUUUGACCUCCCGAUCCAUAAUCUCAACUGGCUCCUCUACGAAGUGGAGAUUUUCGUUAACUUCGAUGUCGUCGAGAGGUAUUACAAGUGUCUCGUCAGACAGAUACUUCUUUAAGUUGGAUACGUGAAAUGUGGGGUGUAUGUUAUUAAGUUCUUGAGGUAAUCGGAGUUUGUACGCCACAGGACCAAUCCUGGCAAGGAUUUCGAACGGUCCGAUUUACCUCGGGUUUAGUUUCCCAUGUUUACCGAAACAUAUCAUUCCUUUCCAAGGGGAAACUUUUAGUAAUACUCGAUCUCUGACCUGAAAUUCUAAGGGUUUGCGUCUCUUGUCUGCGUAACUCUUUUGUCGAUCAUGAGACGUCUUCAUUCUUUCCCGAAUUUGAACAAUCUUUUCUGUGGUCUCCCUUAUGAUUUCAAGACCAGUAAGGGUGCUAUUAGGGACUUGCCCCCUAGCUAGCUGAGUAUCCCCCACUUCGGCCCAACACAGGGGUGAUCUGCACUUGCGACCAUAGAGAGCUUCGAAUGGAGCGAAUUUAAUGCUGGUGUAAUAGUUGUUAUUGUAGGAGAAUUAGAUCAGCGGCAAAUGGGUAUCCCAUGCUUUACCAAAAUCUAUCACACAGGCUCUCAACAUGUCUUCUAAUGUUUGUAUAGUGCGCUUGCUUUGCCCGUCGGUUUGUGGAUGGUAGGUCGUACUCAUGUCUAGCCUAGUUCCCAAGGAUUUCUGCAGGGACUGCCAAAAUCGCGAAGUGAAUCUACUAUCUCGGUCAGAGAUAAUGGAUAUUGGUACACCAUGUAGUCGCACAAUCUCGUUGAUGUAUGUCCUGGUUAACUUCUCCAUCUUGUUGGUUUCCUUUAUUGGCAGGAAGUGCGCAGACUUGGUCAAUCUGUCCACGAUUACCCAUAUAGUGUCAAACCCGCCUGAAGUCUUAGGAAGCUUGGUUACACGGUCCAUGGUUAUCUGUUCCCACUUCCAUUUCGGUAUAUCAGGUUAUUGUAGUAGUCCCGAGGGUUUCUGGUAUUCCACCUUGACCUUGGCGCAAGUCAGACACUUGCUCACAUAAGUAGCAAUCUCGACUUUCAUAUUCGGCCACCAAUAUAACUUUUUGAGGUCUAGAUACAUCUUGUCUGACCCUGGAUGGAUGGAGUAUCGAGUCUUGUGUGCUUCAUUCAUGACCACGUCUCGGAACCUGCCGAACUUCGGGGUCCAUAUUCGGUUCAUGAGAUGACGAGUUCCAUCAUCCUUGACUUCUAAGUUUUUAUCCAUUCCCCUUAAUGCCUCACCUGCCACAUUCUCUGGUUUCAAGGCUUCUAGUUGGGCUUCCCUGAUUUGCGUGGCCAGGUGUGAAUGGAUAGUCAUUGUUAAGGAUCUUACUCGGCGGCCCGAGUAUUCCUUCCUACUUAGGGCAUCAGCCACUACAUUGGCCUUGCCCGGGUGGUAGUGAAUUUCGCACUCGUAGUCAUUCAACAGUUCAAACCAUCUUCGUUGCCACAUGUUGAGCUCUUUUUGAUUGAGGAUAUGCUGAAGACUUUUGUGAUCGGUGAAGAUGGUACAUUUUGUGUCGUAGAGGUAGUGCCUCCAGAUCUUUAAAGCGAACACUACCGAUCCCAGUUCAAGGUCAUGGGUAGUGUAAUUAACUUCGUGUGUAUUAAGUUGCCUUGACGCGUAGGCGAUGACUUUCCAUCUCUGCAUGAGCACGCAUUCGAGGCCUUGAUUUGAAGCAUCGCAAUAUACCACGAAGUCAUCAGUUCCUUCCGGAAGAGACAAGAUUGGCGCGCUGCAUAGAGCUUGCUUUAGUGUCUGGAAGGCGGCUUCUUGUUUAUCUUCCCAUUUGAACAUCAUGCCUUUCUGAGUCAGGGUGGUGAGGGGCUUAGCAAUCUUGGAGAAGUUCUGUAUAAAUCUUCGGUAGUAGCCCGCGAGUCCUAAAAAUUGUCGGAUUUCCGUUGGUGUUGUGGGUGCUGCCAAAUUUUCAAUCGCCUUGAUCUUUGAGGGAUCCACAUGUAUUCCUUUCUUGCUUACCACGUGGCCAAGGAAUCCCACUUCACGGAGCCAAAAUUCACACUUUGAAAACUUGGCGUAAAGCUUCUCGGAUCUUAGCGUCUCCAAUAUUAGUCUCAGGUGUCGCCUGUGUUCUUCUUCGUUUCUUGAAUAAACCAAGAUAUCAUCGAUGAAUACGAUCACAAAUUUAUCCAAGAAGGGUCGACACACUCGGUUCAUCAUAUCCAUGAACAACGCAGGCGCGUUUGUUAACCCGAAUGGCAUCACUACAAAUUCGUAGUGUCCAUAGCGAGUUCUGAAUGCCGUCUUGGGGAUAUCUUCUUCUUGAACUCGCAAUUGAUGGUAACCCGACCUCAAGCCGAUUUUUGAAAAGUAGCUCGCUCCCUGAAGUUGGUCAAAAAGGUCAUCGAUUCGGGGUAGGGGAUAUCGAUUUUUGAUGGUAAGUUUGUUUAACUCCCUAUAAUCGAUGCACAUACAAAAGGAUCCAUCCUUCUUGUUCACAAAUAGAAAUGGUGCUCCCCAGGGUGAAAAGCUCGGUCUGACGAAUACCUUGUUUAAUAGCUCGCUCAAUUGUUGCAUUUCUGCCGGUGCGAGGCGAUAUGGUGCUUUGGCUACAGGGGUAGCACUGGGAACCAAGUCGAUUCGGAAUUUGACUUUUCGUGCGAGCGGUACACCUGGCAGAUCUUCUGGGAAUACGUCGGGGAAGUUGCACACUUCCGGAAUGUCUUUGAUGUCCUUUACCCCUUGAUUCUUAUCUACGACGUGAGCUAAGAAGACGUGGUAUUCCUUUCGGAGAUACUUUCGGGCUUUGACACAAGAGAUGAUUUGUAGGUUUGCACUAGGUUUGUUGCCAUAAACGGUGAGGGUGUUGCCAUUCGGCUGAUUGAGGCGGACGGACCUUUCGUAACAUAAAAUGUCGGCACGAUUAGGACCCAACCAAUCCAUACCAAUGAUGACGUCGAAACUUUUUAUUGUGACUGCCAUUAGAUCGAUUUUGAACAAAUGGUUGUCUAAAGUGAGGGUACACCCUAUGUAAAUAUCGUUAGCGCGCUCAACCUUUCCGUUUGCCAUUUCUACGACGUAUGAAUCUUUUAAUGACUGGGAAUUUUGCCUAAGUAAAUGUUUGAAUUGGUGGCUUACGAAACUUCUUUCUGCCCCACUAUCGAAAAGUACGCAUGCAUAAGAGUUAUUGAGGAGGAACGUACCGGUAACCACCGAGGGGUCCUUGACUGCUUCUCCGUGUCCCAUCGUCAGGACUCUCCCUACACCAUCGGCAUUAGUGUUUCGUGCUUUUGGGCAGUUUCUUUUGAAGUGCCCUGCCUCUCCACAGCCGUAACAGGCUUGGCUUGCCCCGGUGCUGGCGACAGGGGUGGCUUGAGUGGUGUUUUGGGUCGACCCUUUACAGAAUCGUGCAGUGUGCCCCUUCUUUUUGCAGUUAUUGCAGUGUAAUUCCCGACAGACACCAUUGUGGUGGAAGCCACAUUUGUCGCACUUAGGGAGUGUCCCGACAUAUUGCUUCCUUGGGGCCGGAGUGGAUGGAGUAGUAGCAGCAUGGAUCGCGACAAUUUGCUAUUUCUGGGAGGAUCCUGGUGUCGACUGUUUCUUCUUGUUACUUUAGAACUUUCUUUUAUUGUUAUCUCCUUUUGUUUGACAGGGGUGGCGAUCACGGUACCACGACUGGCCUUGUGAUCGAUGAGUUGCUGUGCCAAUUCCUUGGCACUCUCAAAGGUAGUAGGUUUCGAGGCCAGUACACUAUCAUGAAUUUGGGAUGAUAGCCCCCAAAGGUAUCGUUCUACCUUUUUCUCCUCCGGAGUGACCAUUGUGGGACAGAGGAGUGCUAAGUCAUUGAAUCAGGCAGUAUAAGCUUCGAGAUCCGUCCCCGACAUCUUGAGGUUCCAGAAUUCUUCCUCCAGUUUCUGCACUUCGCCUCUUGGGCAAUAUUCCUUCAGCAUUAAAGCUUUUAAAUCCUCCCAGCUUAUAGAGUUAGCCACUGCAGGAGUAAGCGACUUAACUCUGCCGUUCCACCAAGUUAGAGCUCUUCCAAUGAAAGUGANCUCGCUUCGGGGAAAGCACAAAUCUCGAAGACUGAUUCAGUUCUCUCGAACCAUUGCAUUAGUGCGAUGACGCCCCCGCUUCCAUUAAAAGAAUCGGGUUUGCCAUUUGUGAAGUCCUUAUAAGUGCAUUCCUUUGUGCGCCCCGAACUGUCACCCUGAUUAGAGGGUGUAGCACCAGAUCCGGAUCCCCCAUUACCGUUAGGGAUGAUUUGUGACAUAGCUGCUGCCACAGCUGCCGUUACUGCAGCCUGGAACAUUGCUGGAUCAAAUUGUGGUGGCGGCGGAGGAGGUGGUGCUGUGCUACCGGAAGGUCUUGGUCUUUUCCUUGGUGGCAUAGUUCUGUCAUAAUUAUAAAAUGACAAGUCGGUAAGACCUCAAUAGUAAUAACGAGUCGAGUGGUACUGGUUUCAUCUCAAUUGUAUUUUGUCCCAAGUUUAUUACUUUAGAAGGUAAUUCAUCGAAAAGUUUAUGCAAUUAAACUUAUGAAUUUAAUAGUGUUGACCCAAACAGAGUCAUGUGUUCGUUUAUGUGAACAUUCUAGAAAGCAAAAUACAUGCCAAAUCCAUUGAUAACUUGCUAGUACAUAUUGUUUUUGAAAAAUUUUGACCUCACAAGGGUCUACAAUACAUCAUAAUAAAGAUAGAGUUUCGGUAGUACAAAAGCCCCUUUAACUAGUGUGAUCACUUAGUCGCAAGGUCAGCCUAUUCGCACUAAAGAGUAGCACCAACGCAUACUCGAAAUCCUAGAUUUAUACCAAAACAUGAGUAGUGCGAACACUACUUGCAGUGGGUGGUAUCCGGUACAUGGUGGCCCUGGGAUGAGGUCGAAGCUCCCUGAAGCUCCGCGAUCCGGCGUUCGGCCACGAUCACCCUCUCCUCGAGAGCUGCGUGCCUCUCCUGGUACUCUCUUACCUCCGCUCGAGCAGCGGUAAGGUCCUCGAUGAGUUGGUCCACUGGAUAGAAGUCCCUCUCCAAAUCCCGGGUGCGUGCAUCGGUGGCUGCUGUAAUAGCGCUGAGGUUUCGAACCUGGUCUGCCACUUCCCUACUCCGAUUCCCCAAGUUCGUGAUGUGUUGGAGCAUAACAGGGAGAGCUCUGUCAGCUGGUCCUCCGUGGCUGAGGUCAUAGUAACCUCGUUGGUCGCCAUAGGGUGACCUCUGGCGUUGUUGCCGGCUCCACCUCUCGAGCAUGGUUGCCCAAUGGGGCUCAGGCCCGUUGUGCCCCCAGCGGUUUGCAGGUACCCUCGCGAUGUAAGGAGGGUUGAAGACUUCCUCCUUUGGCUCUUCUUCACCUUCGUCCUCAUCCAUGUCCACCUCGUCUUCUUCUUCUUCUUCGUCUACCUCCUCUUCUUCUUCUUCGGGUUCUUCUUCGGGAUCUUCUUCGGGAUCCUCUUCAAUCAGCUCUUCGGGCUCUUCCUCAAUCCAGCCGGCAUUUCCCUGGUUGGGAAAGUAUGGGUCUCCUGGUAAAUGGAAUCCUGCCAUGUCGUCUGCGCGAGAAUAGGGGUGUAAGAAGCAGAUAGUGGUUAAUAAUAAUAAUAUUGCGAUAUAGCAACACACAAAUAAUCCUAUAGUAUUUUAAAUGUUUAGAUUUGGUUCUUAGGGCACUCUUUGUAGGGUGAAGUUAGGUUAUCAGAUUUGUUGCCCUCUACGACUAUCCCCCAAUAUGAGUAACUCACUUCUUGGACAAAUAUAGUUGAUCAGGCUAUAUCUUUCCCAGAACUGAUUACUCAUAACAGGGUAUACUCGUAGCGUUCAACUCCUCUUCUUUUUAGUUUAUUUUCUUCUAGUUAUGACACUACGCAAGUAUGUAAUGCAUGUAGGUAUACUUUUAAACAAGAACUAUUCGUUUUCUAAAAGUAUAACCUGAUAGGAUGUUUUAAAAUCAGAGACUCUUAGUCCCAAAUGUGUUUAUAGUUUGUAUAUCCUAUGUUGUUUGAUAUACUUAAUUCACUAUAAACCGUGCUCUGAUACCAAUCUGUCACACCCCCAAACCAAGGAUGGCGGAAACGUCCGGGGGUGGAGGACUUCAUGUAUAGUAUCAUAACAACAAAUGCAAUAGUGAUUUAAGCAAACACAACCAACAUAUAUAUAAUUGAAAAAGUUACAUCAUUGUAUGAAUUACAUGUUUCAAAAUCAAUUACAAUAUGUUGACAAAAUAUGAAAUGUUUGACGCCUUAACGUCCCAUCCUCAAAAUGCUCUUGAUUUCCUGUUUAGUGAUUUCCUGAGAAUACAAGUUGUUUGAAAAAGUGUCAACACAAAGGUUGGUGAGUUCAUAAGCUUUUGACAGUGAGAGUUUGAAAAUCGAUCCUUGUAAAGAGAUGUAUGUUACCAAGAAAAAUCCAAUAUUUUCCUUAUAAAAGUCAUGUAGUCCUAAAUACCAGGACCGAAAUGAAUGAUGUGUGGUCUUAAAUACCAAGACUGAAAAUAUACCAUAAUAUCUGUAAUUAUUGAUAUAAAAAUUGAUUUUAAAUUUACAUAAAACCCCUUUUGAUUUAUGCAAAUCCCUGUAAACUUAUGUUGUUAGAUCCCUAUGUGAGCCGCUAUAAUCAUACUAAUGACUGAAUACACUUGCCACGAUGUUUCUCAGGCGUCGCGAAACUAAAAUGACACUUGUCACCCGCAGACCUGCAGGUCUGACUGUAGCUAGCAGCGAGGUGUGGGGUGUCAAACCCAAUAUAGAUCUAUACACAACUAUCACGUUCUCCCUCCAGGAGACUCUGAUUAUAACUAGCAGGAAUUAGAUUCCGCACUCGGAUGUAUGAAAGAGAAUGUCUCACAAUUUAGGUUAACAAGUUUACGUGUGGUAUGCAUAAGUGUAAAGCCUUUUUCCUGAGGGAAUAAAACCUUCCGAAAUGUGUUUGUUGUGUUAAUGGAAACAUAAACCAUACCUAUUAUAGUUUAUCAAAACAAGGGUAGAAAUAGUAAAGUACACAAACUAUACUUAACAUAGUUUAAUAAUACAUUUGUAUGUAAUGGGUGUACUUUAAUUAUAACACUUGGUUAUUUCUAUGUAUUAUCUAGUGAAAAUUCAUUUGUUAACUGGUGUACAUCUAGAUAUGAGUACAAAAAUGUCACAUACUACAAUAACACAUAAUCACAUAAUGAUAUAUACCUUGCUCAACAUGUUACAAGGUGAAAUGAAAUUUAUAGUGUUUUUCUAUUUAUAACAUUUUUUGUAUCUGUUAUUGGAAAAUUUGUAGAAAAAAUCAUAAAAUGUCCAAAUCAAGUUCUGUAACUUCUGAGAGUUUGGAAAAUGAGUCUAGCUGGUUCAUAAAAUUUUCCAAAAUUUUUAGGGACCUCUAACUUGUGUGACUAAGUCUAUAAUCACAGACUGGUCCGGAUUGGUGUUUGAGAUGAUAGGCAGUUUUGUAAAAAUCACCAUAAAUUGUAGAAAAAUCGUAUGGAGAUGUGCAAGUAGUCAUUUUAAAGCUAAGAACUGGAACUACUUACACCUAAAACAGUUUUGUAAACAAAAAUGUUUAAGUUGUCCAAAACAGUCUGUGAAUGGGGUCCAACUUUUCUGAUGAAGGCUGUUAGAAACGUUUAGCUUUGUUCUUAUUGUUUUACUUGUAUUCUCCCCCUAAAAACUUGAGAAAACAUGAAAAUGUAGGGGUAUGAACUCACCUUAAGUGAUUUCAGUAGAUGAUUGUUGAAGAAUGGAAGUGUUUCACUCAAGAACACUUGGAGAUGCCUUGAAGAUUUUCGAGAAUCUAGCAUCAUAGUUAUGGAGUUUGUGUAAGCAAUCAAUGAUUUGAGUAGAAUGAAGUGCAAUAAUCACAAGGAGGAUGAAUUAUACUUACCAAGAGUGGAAGAACACUUGAUGAUCAGCCUUGGGAUCUUGAAUUAGAGAGAAAAGUUUGAGGGAAAAGUUGGAGUUGGAUCUUUGGUGAAAUGAGAGUAAUUGAAAGAAAGUGAGGAGAGAGGUUGAGUGACCAGCCCUAAAAACGUGGGGAUGGCUUGUGAGAGGGGUAAAAGUACAAGGAAGUGACAAGGUAUGGUGGGGAGGAGUGUGGGUUAGGCAUGGAGUGGGUAUGGGGUUGCUUGUGUCAUAAAAUAAGGUAAAGUCAACACUCUACCUUUGUACUUCACCUACUCUCUUUUGGAUAAGGUUUUAUCCUUAAAACGUGAUUAUUCAUUACUUAAGGGGUCUUAUAUGUUAAAAUAAAGUUUUGGGUGAAAAUCCCGUGUUAAAACAAUUAAAAACGGGCCUAAAACGCAACAUUAGUCGAAAACCGGGAGAAAAGAGGCUUCCCAGCGAGACCUCUCGGUCCUGGCCGAGGUUCGGUCCUCCUGAGGCUGGGUUCGGUCCCUGAUGCUGCUAGGCGCCAAGCGAAGGGGGCGAGGGCUCGGUGUUCUCAGAAGCGAAGGCUCAGUCUUCAGAAGAGAAAGUGAUCAGACCCGAAACCGAAGGUUCNNNNNNNNNNNNNNNNNNNNNNNNNNNNNNNNNNNNNNNNNNNNNNNNNNNNNNNNNNNNNNNNNNNNNNNNNNNNNNNNNNNNNNNNNNNNNNNNNNNNNNNNNNNNNNNNNNNNNNNNNNNNNNNNNNNNNNNNNCUCAGAAGGGUUCGGUUCCUAAGAGGGGUUUCGGGUCCUAAGAGGGGUUUCGGCUCCUUAAGUCCGUUUUUCGCGUAGACUUCCGUUUUUGGGCUGUUUUCGCCAAAUUCGAGGGUCGGGAUGCCCUGAGUGAUUAUAGAAAGUUGAGAGAGAUUUUGAGAGAGAUUUGAGAGAGAUUCCACAUACUUAGAGAGAUUUGGGAGAGAUUUGACAUUCUUGGAGAGAUUUCUCAUACAAAGAGAUAUUUGGGAGAGAUUUCACAUACUUAGAGAGAUUUGGGAGAGAUUUGACAUUCUUGGAGAGAUUUCUCAUACAAAGAGAUAUUUGGGAGAGAUUUCACAUACUUAGAGAGAUUUGGGAGAGAUUUGACGUUCUUGGAGAGAUUUCUCAUACAAAGAGAUAUUUGGGAGAGAUUUCACAUACUUAGAGAGAUUUGGGAGAGAAUUGACAUUCUUGGAGAGAUUUCUCAUACAAAGUGAUAUUUGGGAGAGAUUUCACAUACUUAGAGAGAUUUGGGAGAGAUUUGACAAUAGAGAGAGAUAGAGUGAAAACGACUAAGAGGGUUUCAUGUGUGACAAUAGUGAGUGUUUGGCUCCUCAACGCAAGGUCUGUGAACCCCGUUAAGCUAUGUUUUAGGAUCUUACACACUCCCGAUGAGUAUGCAAUAUUGUUUUAUUGUUCUUGUUCAUUGCUUAGUACUAAGGUUAAGAAAAAUUAAAAACACAAUUUUUCCAGGUGAUGUUUUCUCAUUAAGAUAGUGGGUUAUACAGAAAUUACAUAAUACAAACCCUAAUAUACAAGGUUUAAUUGAGUUGACCGGUUUGACUCGUUGACUUUGUCCGACUUAGACUUGACCCGAAUUUGACUAUUGUCACAGGAUAACACUAAUAGCAUCAACUAAAUCAGGCAUUGCCUCAUCUUCAAUUUUUUCUAAAUCAGGUUCAGGGAAUUGUUCUGCAAAAAGUAACAUCAUAUGAAUAAGGUACCAAUUUGGGGUUUGUGUCAAGGACUUUAGUCCUAAAGGCAACGCCUUCCAAGGACAUGGGAAC